rnacentral:rRNA from 1 species
CAAAUUUCUUGGCCCUUAUCAACUUUCGAUGGUCAGAGUCAGUGGUCUACCAUGGUUUCAACGGGUAACGGGGAAUUAGGGUUCUAUUCCGGAGAGGGAGCCUGAAGAAAGGUACCACAUCCAAGGAAGGGCAGCAGGCGCGCAAAUUACCCCAAUCCCGACUCGGGGGAGGCUAAGUUGGACAAUUAAAUUACUGAUACACGGGGCCCUUUUGGGUCUUGUAAAUUUGGAAUGACGUACCAAUUUAAAAUCUUCUUAACGAGGGA